rnacentral:rRNA from 1 species
CCUACGGGUGGCAGCAGUGAGGAAUAUUGGUCAAUGGGCGGAAGCCUGAACCAGCCAAGUAGCGUGCAGGAUGACGGCCCUACGGGUUGUAAACUGCUUUUAUACGGGAAUAACGCGCCUUACGUGUAGGGCUUUGCAUGUACCGUAUGAAUAAGGACCGGCUAAUGCCGUGCCAGCAGCCGCGGUAAUACGGAAGGUCCGGGCGUUAUCCGGAUUUAUUGGGUUUAAAGGGAGCGUAGGCGGUAUGUCAAGCGUGCUGUGAAAUGUCCGGGCUCAACCCGGGCCUUGCAGCGGAAACUGGCGUGCGUGAGUCCGCGGAAGGCAGGCGGAAGUCGUCGGGUAGCGGUGAAAUGCUUAGAUAUGACGAAGAACCCCGAUUGCGAAGGCAGCUUGCUGCAGCGGAACUGACGCUGAUGCUCGAAAGCGCGGGUAUCGAACAGGAUUAGAUACCCCAGUAGUC